CCGUAAUCUUAUCCGUAUAUCCAACUGCAUUGUUGGUUAGGGGCUCGUAAGUAAGCAUUUCACUGUAAGGUCUACUGUUGUAUUCGGCGAAUGUGGCUAAUACAAUUUGAUUUAAUAACAGUUUAUUAUUUACAUACAUAUGUUCAAUGUGUGUGCACAGGUCAGAUGUAACUUGGUGGUGGGCUCAAAGUAAACUUACAGGUCAUUAAUUCACUUGUAUAAAAGUUAGGUUCCAGGGUCAUUCAAAAUGCACAAAAACACUGCUCCCACCAAUGUAAAGUGCAUUUUAGAGGGUUCGGAAAGUGAAAGUUAGACGUCCUCCAGUGAUUUUGUUUUACUUUUCCUGUUCAAAUAUCCCAAGUAUAAAUACAUACACUAAAGGGUUCAAAAAAAUAUGUUUUGAGCAAAAUAGUGUAUUUGAGACAACCGCAAACUUUAAGUUAACUUCAAGGAUUUUGGAGUGGCAGGUUAAGGGCGGCAGGUAGCCAAGCAGUUAGAGCGUUGGGCCAGUAACCGAAAGGUUGCUAGAUCGAAUCCCCGAGCUGACAAGGUAAAAAUCUGUCGUUCUGCCCCUGAACAAGGCAGUUAACCCACUGUUCUUAACUGCCUAGUUGAAUAAAGGUGAAAUAAAUCAAAUACAAGGAGAUGGUCAGAUGUGAUGUCAUCAGCCUCCUCCUUGUUUGAGGAACAAUAGAGAACAAAAGAGGAAAGUACCACCUGCCUCUCCCCCUGCUUGUUCCAUGUCAUGUCAUACCUGGACCACCUAUUGAGAUGUGCCUUUUGUUAAGUAAAUGUUAAACAUGUCUUUAUCUAGAAGCCACCACCAUCUCAAUUAGUUUACGUGACAGACAGGUCUAUAAAUGAUCAUCAACUCCAAUUCUCACUCUUACACUUGUAUAAACAUACAAGUAUUUCCCAAUUGCUGUCUUUUGAGUAGACUUGUCUCUACUUGCUAACGGCUGCUGAAACCUCAUACUUUUGUUUCAGACAUGAUGUGAAGGAAAUAUUACAUACUUUUUCUUGUCAUUCAUACUGGUUUCUUCUCAAGCUUGUGCAGGGACUGUUAAAACAGGCAGCCCAGUUAACCAACAAAAAAAAGCUUUUUACACAGCUAUUCUCAUUCACUGUUCACAGAGCUCUUGAAUAAACAAAGCUAGCUACUUAGUUAACGCUUCCCACAAUCCCAAUGCUGAAUUGUAUCUUAAAGGCCUCGUGCAGUCAAAAUUCAGUUUUCUGUGUUUUCCAUCAUAUUGAACAACAGCUGAUGAAACUAACAAGAUUUGAUCAGUAUUAUUUCCUGGUUGAAAAUACAUUCUACAAAGGACCUUCUAAACAGCAGGUUUUGCAUGGAGUUUCUGCAUGCCUGGUGACAUCACCAGGUGGUAAAUUAAUGAAUAGAUUAAUAACAAAGAGUUCCAAACCUCUCUAACAAUAACAACUAGUUUUCCCUUUUCUCCUCCCCACUUGGACCACAAAUCUUGCUUGUUAAAACGUUUAACGCUUAAAAAGCAUAAAAGCAACAAAAAACAAUUUUGAUAAUUUUAAUAGAAAACCAUCACAGUAAGGUACAUUAUUGUUACCCAUAAAUGAUUUGAUAUAAAAACGGCUGCAUUGGGCAUUUAAGACCCGUUACCAGAGCCAACACAGGUUUGGUGUUGUUGACUCACUCUUCACAGGUUCCAAGACUAACACACAAGUUGUAGCUGGCUCAGCUGUACAACCCAAGCUCAGCAGGGUAGGACAUAUGAGCAUUAUACAUCUCACGCUUAUACGUUUUUGGCUCGUACAUUGCACUAAAAGAGGAGAGUGAUUUUACUCAGAAAAGGACUUGCUACAACACAGUUCCUCAAAAAACAAUAAUCCAGAUUACUUUAAUCCAUAAAAUGAUCAAAAGGGGUUACCAUGAUCAAAUGUAGAAAAUAUGAGAAACAUUUUUUUUAAAUCUAAAGAUCGUUCUUCCCUUUUUGGUGCUUUUUCUGUUCACAGCAAAAUAGUAUUUGUUUUUCAGCAGCACAUUUGUCAUGGAGUGUCUUUCUACCUGGCCUGUCUCCUCUUACAGUUAACUUUGGCAUUAGAACCUGCCACCUCAGACACAUAUAGUCAUGGUAUUGGUCAUCUACAGGACGGUUUCCCUUUUCACUGUAGAAUGGUAAUCCAAGUCUUCCCAGUUCAUCAAUCUUAUUUAGGCUCCAGUUUAAAAUCACAACUGACAAGAGGUGUUUAAACAUUCAAGUUUGUCAGUAUGGAGUAACCCGCAAUGUAGAAUUUCACCAUCUUUGGUCACUAUCUUCCAGCAUACUGUCACUGCAGGAUGUUCCUACAGUACAGUCAACCCAUUGGCUGCUGGAUCUGAUUCAACCUAUGGAGAAUGUGUGCAUUUCCCCUGUCUGUUAUCCUCUGACCAGUUUGGCACAUCAAGAUGGAUAAAAAGCAUCAAUACUCCAGUUGUCCUUGUCAUCAUGUGUCAGUAGCGAGUCUGAGGAUUCAGACUGGUAGGGUGGCACUGUUGGCAUCCUGAGUGGAUGGGCACUGAGUGGUUACCUCUGACUGAGUGGUAAAGUCUGUGCCAGGGUGCGGAGGGGAAAUGUUCUGGGGAUGAGGGGCGUCUAUUACAGACCCCAGAAUGUCAAAGGGUACUUCAAUGGACCCUCCACCCCCCCCGGUAUCUGACCUCAGUCAGCAUGGAGCCCUCCACCCCC
ensembl:lncRNA